GAUCCUGGUCCAGCUUGGGGUAGGGUGGGGAGGGGAGGUUCUCUGAGGAAGGAAGGCCUUCUCUGAGGAUUUUAGUGUUGCAGCUCUUGUAGGUGAUACUCAAUGAAACAGCUCUCUUAGAGAAUCUUCAGUAAAAUAGCUGCUGUGCAUACACUGUAUACAAGGGCUACAUAUGAACCUUGGAGAGUGGAGAUUUCUGGGUGAAUAUAAAAGGCGAUGGCUGAAGCUUAAGUCCUGUGAAUGCCUCAUUUGUCUGGAGAUGCGUUCCGAGAAUCUCAGGUUCAUCCUUGUCGUAGCAUCCUUCCUUAAUGGAUGAGUGACCUUCUGCUGUGUGGAUCACCUCAUUGUGCCUGUCCAUUCAUCUGCUGAUAGACACUGGGUUAUUCUCACCUUUGACUUGAAUCUUGCUGCUGUGAACACUGAUGUACAAGCAGAUAUCCCAGUCCCUGCUUUCAGCUUGAGUAAACUCCUCCAGGUAAUUUGAAUUUGCCCUUUGAAUCCUUGGUGGCAUAUGGUGGAAUUGUGGCUAGCAGGCAGGAGCCUAGCAUAACUGUCUCCUGAGAGGCUCCGUCCAGUGGAUGGAAACAGAUGUAGAGACCCACAGCUGAAUCGCAGGCAGAGCUCGGGGAGUCUUGUGGAAGAGUGGGAGGAAGGACAGCACAAGAAGACCUGCAGAGUCAACUAACCUGGGCCCAUGGGGGCUUACAGAGACUGAGCCAAACAAAGAGCAUGCAUGGACUGGACAUAGGUCCCCUACACAUAUGCAGGAGAUAUGCAGCUUGGUCUUCAUGUGGGUCUUUUGUAACAACUGGAGUGGGGCCAGUCUCUGACUCUGUUGUCUGCCUUUCCAUCCCUUUCCCCUAGCUAGGCUGCCUUUCCUGGCCUCAGUGGGAGAGGAUGUGUUUAGUCCUGAUUCGACCUGAAGUGCAAAGAGGGGUUGGUAACCAAGGGGACGGGCCUUC
rnacentral:lncRNA from 1 species